rnacentral:lncRNA from 1 species
CUCAGGGCGACCUUCCUGACUCAGAGAGUUUGGGAACUGAGGCCUCGAAGAGAACCAGGAGACGAAGGCACUGUCUCGGGAUGAGCUCCAUGACAGAAAGAUGCUCUUCUCCAUCCGAAGAUGGCAGCAGAUGGUGAACAGUGCCAUGCAUUCAGGACACAGAGGUCUUUACAACACACUGACAAACUGCCAGGCUGCCACAAUGGAAAAUUCUACAUGUAAUCUCACUGGACUGUAGUCAAAGACAAGUACACCAAAAAUACCACUAAAAGUUACCUUCAGACAGUGUGCAUAAGAUAUAUAUGAAAACAUGUGAGUAUUCUGUUCCGACUUGGGUCUCGUUGCUACCAUAGCUCAUUAUUAUCUGAAAACAUUCCAUAAUCUAUAAACAAAAUGAAAUUUGUAACCCUUUUGGUCUUAAGCAUUUCAGAUAAGGAAUUAUUAUAUAACUCAUCCUCAGGGCUAGCUUCAUGUAACUGUCUGUGUGUAGGAGGCUCCACCUCUGUUUAGGGCAAGAACUUCUAGGCCUGCCUCCCAAGCCCUUGUGAUCUCUGCUCUAUUGCCAGCAGCCCAGACUGGGCUAGGGCUGCUAGCAUGGAGAAUUGAGGCUAUCAUGUUGGAUUCUCCCUGUGCCAUCACAGAAGCUCUCUAAGUGACUCUGAUCAUGACAUCUGGUUUAGCAAUAGCCCCAGGACUGGGAACAAACCUGCCAGGAAUCUAGCCUGUGUUAGGUUUUCAGGGAGCAAUCACCACUGGAAAAACAUGACGUUGAUUCCAAGUCUUUCCUUCUACAGUCCCUCACUGCCCCUCACACUUCCUCCUGGUGGGGACAGCAAUAACUUUGGAAUGUGGACAAGGAGCAAGCUGCCUGCCAUCCCCCCAACCCCAGGCAGGGUCAUAUGACUAAAGAACGCCCUGCCUUUGUCUGAAUUCUGCUAAUACCCUGUUACUACUAUGGUCCUGAAGGAUCACAGCCACCUGGGACCUCAUUAGAAAAGCAGACCCCUGUCCUUGCCCCAGAGCCACGCAAUCUGGGACUGCACUUCAUCAAUGCUCCCAUG